UACGAAGGGAGCUAACGUUGUUCGGAAUCACUGGGCGUAAAGCGCACGUAGGCGGAUGUGUCAGUCAGGGGUGAAAUCCCGGAGCUCAACUUCGGAACUGCCUUUGAUACAGCACGUCUUGAGUCCGAUAGAGGUGGGUGGAAUUCCUAGUGUAGAGGUGAAAUUCGUAGAUAUUAGGAAGAACACCGGUGGCGAAGGCGGCCCACUGGAUCGGUACUGACGCUGAGGUGCGAAAGCGUGGGGAGCAAACAGG
rnacentral:rRNA from 1 species